UUCUUUGUGGCAUUUUCCACUGCUUAUUCUAAUCAAAGCUGUCAUUUUAUGACGCAUAAGGUUUCCUUUUAUAACUAUUUUGUGACUGAUAAAAGGCUGAAUAUGUUGCUAAGAAAAACUUUUAAAAGAUUCAAAUCAGUUGUUUCCCUGGACUUUUACCAUAAACAAUAUGAGCUGGAAGUUUCUGUGCCCAUUCAGAAAUGUGAGUUUCUUUAAUUAACCUGGCAGAAUCUACUUUCCUCAGUUGCCGCCACCCAGUCUUUAAUUAUACCCUCUUCCCUUUACUUUCCUUGUAAAGGCCACCAAGCCCAGUGCUGAAAGAGACAAAAAGUGAUGAGCAACCUCUAGAAAUAGGCAAACGUAAGUGCCGUUCUCAAAGCUCAAGCAGUACAAGCAGCAGCUCUUCCUCUUCUUCGUCCUCAUCUUCUUCAGCCUCUUCCUCUUCCUCCUCUUCCUCCUCUUCAUCAUCUUCGUCCUCCUCCACGCCAUUGCCUAAAACAGGACUCCAGGCAGUGGUGAAGGGCCCCCUGAAGAAGAAACCAUCUCCAGAGAAGAGAAAGUCACGCAGCCCUAGAAAACCAAUUGAUUCGUUGAGAGAUUCCCGCUCUCUGAGCUACUCCCCAGCAGAACGGCGUCAGAUUUCCCCUCCUGCCCAACCACCCUCUGCUCCAAGGGAUCGACGUAGAGACAGAUCUAGGGAGAGGUCCCUGCAGAGAAACAGACGAAGCAUCAGCAGGUCUCCAGGACGAAAAUACCGACGCAAAUCUCCCAGUCCCCGAGCUCCUUGUCGCAGAACUUCAAGGUAAUGAGCAUGACUUGCUAGUUUUAGAAAUACCUAACAAUUGCUAAAAGUCCUAUUAAAUGUAACAAUUCAAUUGACUUGACUGCACUUACUAUAGUUUUGUUAUUUCUGACACUGUGUUCCUACUCAUUUCCUGAAGGUAUGGUGAAAUUGUGCUAGUGUCUUUAAUCCUAAAAAGACUCCAGCUUGAAGUCUGUGAAUUCUUCUCACUUACAUCUAGAUAUAAAUAAACAAUUUGCUUCAAAUAAAUUGCCAGAGCACCAGUAUCAUCUUUAUUUCCAUGAGCAUUAUUUGCUUAGUGGGCCUGUCUGAAAAAGACGAAGCUAAGAUGAGAUAAUGAUGGAUAGAAUGUCCUUGGUUAGACUGGAAGUCAAAGAGGGUUAUCCUUGCUAAUUUCUCUUCUAGUAAAUGGCUAAUUUGUUACUAUACACACUAUGUUUCUUAUCCACUUGCUCUCUGAAAUUUAAGCUCUCUUGCCAACCUAAGACAGCUGGGGACUCUGUUAAUUUCAAAGUGUGCUGUCCUGCUCUCACUGGUUUAAUGCGUUUAUGAAUAUUUCCCCCACAACUGCCUUCACCAAAAACCCAGAACUGUACCAGUUAAGCCCAGCCACAAGCAGACCAAUGCUAAUCCACAGACAAAUGGCCAUUGAGUCCACAAGGCAUUUGAAAGAUUCCUAAUCAAAAUAAACCCACCAGACAAAAUUAAAUCCAUAAUACAAGAGGGUUCACAAGGCACAAUCCAAGUCAAGGAGUCAAUCCAGAGUGAGGCAAGAAUCACGACAAGCAGAAAAUGCACAGCUAAGAAAUGAACACAUUGUUCCUAGCAUCACUUCCAUCUGUCUGUUGUGUUAACAGUGCAGCCCAUCCAGAAGGGCAAGGCUUUCUCCUUGCGAGUAAUCUGGCUGACCUUCUCUGCCCUGCGUGUUUUUGGAUGAGAUGCAGAAGGCAGUUCCUCUUCCUCAUCACUGACUGGCAGCAGCUCCAUAUUUUCACCACCUGAAGCCUUAGGGCUGUCUUGACGCAGCUGUACUUGAGCCAAAUCCCUCUUAGACGGCUGCUUGGAGCCAUUUACCAACUCCCCUCCAGACAUAGCAAUAGCAGUAGACUUAUAUA